CCUACGGGGGACAGCAGUGAGGAAUAUUGGUCAAUGGGCGCGAGCCUGAACCAGCCAAGUAGCGUGAAGGAUGACUGCCCUACGGGUUGUAAACUUCUUUUAUAAAGGAAUACAGUGAGGCACGUGUGCCUCUUUGUAUGUACUUUAUGAAUAAGGAUCGGCUAACUCCGUGCCAGCAGCCGCGGUAAUACGGAGGAUCCGAGCGUUAUCCGGAUUUAUUGAGUUUAAAGGGAGCGUAGAUGGGUUGUUAAGUCAGUUGUGAAAGUUUGCGGCUCAACCGUAAAAUUGCAAUUGAUACUGGCAGUCUUGAGUACAGUUGAGGUAGGCUGAAUUCGUGGUGUAGCGGUGAAAUGCUUAGAUAUCACGAAGAACUCCGAUUGCGAAGGCAGCUUACUAAACUGCCACUGACAUUGAUGCUGGAAAGUGUGGGUAUCAAACAGGAUUAGAUACCCCUGUAGUC
rnacentral:rRNA from 1 species